rnacentral:rRNA from 1 species
GAUGAACGCUGGCGGCGUGCCUAAUACAUGCAAGUCGAGCGAACAGACGAGGAGCUUGCUCCUCUGACGUUAGCGGCGGACGGGUGAGUAACACGUGGAUAACCUACCUAUAAGACUGGGAUAACUUCGGGAAACCGGAGCUAAUACCGGAUAAUAUAUUGAACCGCAUGGUUCAAUAGUGAAAGACGGUUUUGCUGUCACUUAUAGAUGGAUCCGCGCCGCAUUAGCUAGUUGGUAAGGUAACGGCUUACCAAGGCGACGAUGCGUAGCCGACCUGAGAGGGUGAUCGGCCACACUGGAACUGAGACACGGUCCAGACUCCUACGGGAGGCAGCAGUAGGGAAUCUUCCGCAAUGGGCGAAAGCCUGAUGGAGCAACGCCGCGUGAGUGAUGAAGGUCUUCGGAUCGUAAAACUCUGUUAUUAGGGAAGAACAAAUGUGUAAGUAACUAUGCACGUCUUGACGGUACCUAAUCAGAAAGCCACGGCUAACUACGUG